GCCUGGGUGGCUCAGUGGGUUAAGCGUCUGACUUCAGCUCAGGUCAUGAUCUUGGGGUUCAUGAGUUCGAGCCCCAUGUCAGGCU
rnacentral:tRNA from 1 species